ACAGUAAUGAAAUACAUGGCAAAAGUCAUUGCAACUUGUCCACACUGCAAACAUAUUUCAAAACAUAUUUACGAAGAAGUCAUGCACAUUGCUUUGAAACAGUGUCCAAGGAAACAUUUUUGGCAUGUGAGUUCAUUGAUGUGAGAAAUGGUGUGUUUGCAGUCAAAUACAUUUUCUGGUCCAGCAAAACCCAUACAUGUUCCAACUUGGUUCAAAACUGUUAUGAAUGCUGGAGUAUUAAAACGCUGUUGAAUUUGACUUUUUCUUUACUUUCACAUACUGUGUGUACAUAAGCAUUGCUCGGAUCUUGUCCCCUGGACCUUGGGGGACUUUUGUGGAUGAUGUUCAGGUUAGACAUUCCUUUAAAUUAUUCCACUGAACUGUAAUAUUUGAUUUACAUUCCUUUAUUGAAACUUGUACCUUGUUCACACCACAGGGCCUACACUAAACUUUGUACAUUGCAAUGGAAGCACAGUGUGAUUUCACUGAGGUAUAUAUAAAUUAUGAAUUUCUCAUCACUAGUGGAUAUGUGUUUUGGAAUCCCCAUCCGAUUUUGUGAUUUUCUUUUUCAAAGGAAAACAUGAAGCAAAUUAGGCGAUGGUGGUGACUAGUUCUCCUGCAGAACUUUCCCAUGCCAUAAGUCUAAUUCUCCUGCAGAACUUUCCCAUGCCAUAAGUCUAGUUCUCCUGCAGAACUUUCCCAUGCCAUAAGUCUUGAACAUUAUAAAAACUUUUCAUUUGCAUCCUUUAAAUCACUUGUUUCACUGUAGCCAGAAUGACCUGAAUAUAUUUUCGUAUGUAUGUCAUUCACUCACUAAGGUCUGAAGAAGAGAGGUUGAAAGAUCGAAAAAGCCAGCGAAAACAAAACACACUACAGGGAGGUGUCAUUAGUGGUAUAGUCUUAAACCAAUGUUUAAAGAAGUCACAGAGCAUCCAGCUCUGCAGGAUCAGGUACUGUAUAGGCUAUUAGCUAAAGUAAGGUGCAUUCUUAUUUAACCUUUAUUUAACUAGGCAAGUGAGUUAAGAACAAAUUCUUAUUUACAAUGACAGCCUAGGAACAGUGGGUGAACUGCCUUGUUCAGGGGCAGAACGACAUUUUUACCUUGUCAGCUCAGUGAUUUUUAUCCAGCAACCUUCCGGUUACUGGCCCAACACUCUGACCACCAAUAGACCACUGUCUAUUUUCUUUCUAGAUGAUACUGAAAACAAAAUGCACAACGAACUGGGAGCUGUGACCUGGGAAGCAGAUGUUCUUCUAAGGGACACCCUAGAGGCAGCAAGGUGAUGUGAACUCCAAACAUUUAAAGGCACUGUUCCCCUCUCUAGUGUAAUUGGGAUGGACGGGGAAGACCACAAUACAACCCUUAAAGAACUACAGUUGUAUGAUGGCCUGGAUGAAGAGAGAAAUGUUCUCCUCAAGGAACCAUUCAUGUUACAGAGAGAUUAUAAGUUGUUCUAUUUGGAGGCAGUUGACAACAAGAAAAUGACUGUCUUUGUCUCUUUAGAGGAGCAGGAGUGAAGUGGUCAAAUCUUAUUUUGUCUGCUGUGUUAAUUGUUUCAAUUGUUAAUUGUGUUAUGUUUAGUAAAGAUGACGUAGAAGUCA